rnacentral:rRNA from 1 species
GAUGAACGCUGGCGGCGUGCCUAAUACAUGCAAGUCGAGCGAACAGACGAGGCGCUUGCUCCUCUGACGUUAGCGGCGGACGGGUGAGUAACACGUGUAUAACCUACCUAUAAGACUGGGAUCACUUCGGGAAACCGGCGCUAAUACCGGAGAAUAUAUUGAACCGCGUGGUUCAAUAGUGAAAGACGGUUUUGGUGUCUCUUAUCGAUGCAUACCGGCCGCAUUAGCUGGUUGGGAAGGUAAAGGCUUAUCACGGGAACGAGGCGUAGCCGAACGGAGAGGGUGGUCGGCCACACGAGAACUUAGACACGCACCAGGCUCCUACGGGAGGCAGCAGUAGGGAAUCUGCCGCAAUGGGCGAAAGCCUGACGGAGCGGCGCCGCGUGAGUGAUGGAGGUCUUGGGAUCGUGAUACUCGGUUAUGAGGGAAGAACAGAUGUGUAAGUAACUAUGCACGUCUUGACGGUACCUGAUCAGAAAGCCACGGCUAACUACGUG